GCUAGAGAGAGAGAGAAAAUUUCGGUUCAAGCUUGCCGGGAACAUCUUAACACGUUGGAUUAACGACAUUGUGAAGCACUCGAUAAGAAUUCAAAAACUUAAUUUAUCUAAUUGAAGAAAGUUUUCUUAGAUAAGGUGUAAUUUCAAUCCAUCGACUCUUAGUUAAGAUAGUCAUUGCUUGAUUUCGAUAUCCAUUUAUCACUUGAUUGACUGGAUUUCGAGUUUUUCCGUUUAUGGGAGCUUUCAUUGCUUGGUUUCGCAGUUUCAGUUGAGUGGGGCUUGUCUAUUCUCUCAUUUGUGAACUCACCAUCGCAACCCUCCUGAAUGGGGUCGGAAAAAUACGGGUUUAGAGGUAACGUCAAGUUUGGGAUCAACAGUCCUCAAUCAGCGCUGAGUUCUCCCAAACCCUUACCUCACAUGACGUUGGGAUUUCCAUUUCUUAUCCAAUUAACCCCAUGAGAAUUUUAUAUGAAGAUGGUCAGCAAACCAAGUGCAGUAACGCAACUAGAGAUCUACGGUUACGGACUUGAUUACACUAGUUAUCUAACUAAUGCCCUUUCGAAACCUAAACUUGAUCAUUUGUUAACUAAGUGUCAUACGUAGUCUUCUCAUCCAAUUAUGCGUCCUAAAGUUCUUGUCCACUAAGUGUUCCAUGCCAUGUUUUCAUGUUUAUUAAUGUCCUAAAAUGCAACCUACCCAUUUAACUAAACAGG